UAAUACGGAGGUGGCGAGCGUUGUCCGAAGUUACUGGGCGUAAAGCGCGCGUAGGCGGGCCCUUAAGUGAGGGGUGAAAGGCUGAGGCUCAACCUCAUGUUUGUCCUCUCAUACUGUGGGUCUUGAGUGAGGCAGGGAGAAGUGGAAUGGCUGGUGUAGCGGUGAAAUGCGUAGAUAUCAGUCGGAACACCGGUGGCGAAGGCGGCUUCUUGGGCCUUUACUGACGCUGAGGCGCGAAAGCUGGGGGAGCGAACGGGAUUAGAUACCCCGGUAGUCCCAGCCGUAAACGAUGGACACUAGGUGUCGGGGGUAUCGACCCCUCCGGUGCCGCAGCUAACGCAUUAAGUGUCCCGCCUGGGGAGUACGGCCGCAAGGUUG
rnacentral:rRNA from 1 species